rnacentral:rRNA from 1 species
UACGUAGGGGGCUAGCGUUGUUCGGCAUUACUGGGCGUAAAGCGCGCGCAGGCGGGUCAUCAAGUCAGAGGUGAAAUCCCAGAGCUCAACUCUGGAACUGCCUUUGAAACUGGUGACCUUGAGUACGGGAGAGGUGAGUGGAAUUCCCAGUGUAGAGGUGAAAUGCGUAGAUAUUGGGAAGAACACCGGUGGCGAAGGCGGAUCACUGGCCCGUAACUGACGCUCAGGCGGGAUAGCGUGGGGAUCAAACAGG